CCCAGCAUAUUGAAUUGUGUGACAUCGUGAGAUUUUGUUUGAUAAAGGAGGUAUCCACUCAUUGUUGAAGUCUUAUAAGGUGACUGAACUGUAUGACCAGGUUGAAUUUGCUCAUCUGAAAGAGAAUGUCAUUUUCUUUUGGUUCUGGUCAACAAACCACACAAGCACCAUCAGGGUUUACCUUUGGACAACCUCAACAACAACAGUCUACAGGUUUCUCUUUUGGAACUCCUGCAACUACCACUAGUUCAGGAUUCUCCUUUGGAAACACACAAGCAUCUCAACCUUCUUCAGGGUUCUCUUUUGGGAAUCCAACCUCAACUGGCUUUAAUUUAGGAAGUAACCCAAGUUCUGGUGGCUUCAGCUUUGGAAACUCUAAUCCAACUUCAGGUGGCUUCAGUUUUGGAAGCUCUAAUCCAUCUUCAGGUGGAUCAACAGGUGUUACUCCUGGAAACACUGGUGCAGCUAGUGGAUUUUUUGGCCUUGGAGCUCAGAAUGCCUCUGCAACUGGAGGGGUUGCUGGAGUUCCAGCAGGUGGAACCAGCACAUUUGGAUUUGGUAGCAACCCUGCCACUUCAGGAGCACAGCCCACCUUUGGAACUGGCUUAAGUCAGACAACUUCAGGAGGUGGUGGCUUCAGUUUUGGAACCAACACAACUACCACAUCUAGUACUGCUUCAUUGGGAACUGCUGCUGUUACUUCUGCUUCAAUUGGGUUGCCAUUAUCAACACCGACGGGAGGUUUUAAUUUUGGGGUCCCUGCUACUACCACAUCUGGGGGCCUGUCUUUUGGAACCACUUCAACUACUACGCCUAGUGGAGGGAUUUUUGGAGGAACAUCAGGAAUAACAUUUGGAGCUACGCCUUCCCAAAUAGGUACUACAACAGUAGGAGCUACAGUGACAACUACUACAAAACCAACAGGUUUAACAUUUGGGAUUCCUCUUGCAUCUGGACCAGCACCAUCAGUAACAACAUCUGCUGCAACAGUUCUUCAGUUUGGAGUAACUGGACAGGCUGCUGUUACCACUGCAUCUUCCUCUACAGGAUUUGGGAUUCUGCAAACAUCCACAUCAGGAAUCACUGGUCAACCUGCAACAACUUCAGUUACUAAGACAACUAGUACAGGUUUCUCAUUUGGUGCAGUACCUUCCUUUCUCAGUAGUACUUCAACAGCUACAACCAGUACUUCUGAUGGUUUCAAUAUUGCAAUGAGUAAACCUUCCAGCACGGUAACCUCAGCAUCUGGCUUUUCCUCACUUGUAACAACAACGACUUCCACAUCAAUAGGAGGUACAGUUUCUACUGCUACACCUGCUACUACAAUGAACUUCAGGCAAUUAGAAGAAUCCAUCAAUAAAUGGACGUUGGAACUUGAAGAACUUGAAAGAACAUUUCUUAACCAAGCUACCCAAGUUAAUGCAUGGGAUCGUUUACUUAUUUCAAAUGGUCAGAAGAUAACUGCUUUGAAUGAAGCAGUGGAAAAGGUAAAGCUGGAUCAACAGAGGUUGGACCACGAGUUAGAUUUUAUUGUAGCCCAACAGAGAGAAUUAGAAGAGUUGUUGGUGCCACUUGAGAAAAGUGUAGAGUCAGCCCCACAUCUCUCAGUUCAACAGCAUGCAGACCUGGAAAGAGAACACACAUAUCAUCUAGCUGAAAACAUUGAUGGUCAGCUAAAGAGAAUGGCUGAGGAUAUUAAAGAAAUAAUUGAACGACUAAACACUUCCAGUAAAAGCCAGGAAGAAGUUGAUCCUAUGCAACAGAUGUCAAAGAUUCUCAGUGUUCAUAUGGAUGCCCUACAAUGGAUUGAACAGAACUCAGGAAUUGUUCAAAGAAAGAUUGAAGAAAUUGGAAAAAUCUCUGAAAUCGAAAGAAGAGAUCAAGAUAAGACCUUCAGGAUGUAAGACUGAUGAUGAGAACAAUACCCCCAAGUUCUUUGAAAUAAUGCUUUUUUUAUAUUUUAAAUGUUUCUGCUAAUUUUCAUUGUGUUCUUACAGCAUUAGUUAUACCUUAUAAAUCAUGAUUUCAAAAAUAUAACAAAAGAACAUUGUCACCCAUUAUUUUUCAUUCUUCUAAUAAAAAUAAAAGCUCUAUAUAUUUUUGGUUUUAUUAAUCUGAGACUUGGCAGUGAACAGUCCUUUUCAUCCAUUCCAUGAAACACAGUAUCAAAAUAUCUCAAAUAUUUUGACAUGGAACUAUCCAUUAUAUACAUCAUUCAAGUAAUAUCUUGUAAUCUGUAUUACAAUAUACUUUCUUUUCCUGGUGAUAAAAAGUUUGAAGAAUGUGUAUGUAUUACUUUUAAAAAUAAACUUCAAAAUACUUUUUGAACUAAUGAUAUUAUGACCUUCAUUCUAGUGUGGUACUUGUGGUUAAAUAUUUUUUAAAGAACAAUUAUAAUAUUCAUAGAGAACAUUCUAACUUUUAGUAAAUUGUCAGUAUUGUGGAGAUCAAUAAUGUCUUAGUCAGAAAGUUGUUUGUAUUAUAGAGAUCAGUAAUUAAUGUUGUAGUUAGAAAGAUGUCAAUAUUGUGGAGAUCGGUAAUGUCUUGGUCAGAAAGUUGUCAGUGUUAUGGAGAUCCAAAUUGCUAGAGUCAGAAAGUUUUCAGUAUUGUUGAGAUCAGUAAUGUUCUAGUCAGAAGACUCAGUAUUGUUCUAGUCAGAAGACUCAGUAUUGUUGAGAUCAGUAAUGUUCUAGUCUGGAAGUUGUCAGUAUUAUGGAGAUCAAUAAUGUUCUACUCAAAAGUGGACAGUCUUGUGAAGAUAGCAAUGUUUUAAUUAGAAAGUUGUCACUAUUGUGUAGAUAGUAAUGUUCUUGAUAGGAAGUUGUCAGUAUUGUAGAGAAGUAAUGUCAUACAGAAUGUCUUGUCUUGCUCAGUAACUUAGGACUCCAUUUUCAAGGUGCAUAUUUUAAAUUAAGAUUUAUAGAUUGCUGAAGUUUCAAUAUUUUUUUUCAGAGUAAUUGUUGUGCAUUUGAAUCUUAAAUCUAAAGAAACUUUUGGAAGCUUGGAUUAAAAGCACUUUCCUAUUCACUGAUGCCCUCAGAAACUCGUAUGCAAACAAAUGACUAAGCUUAUAAUGGAGUUAACCAUUGUAAAAUGAUGUAUAAAGAAAAUUAAACUGCAUUGCUAAAGA
rnacentral:misc_RNA from 1 species